GCGGUACAAACUGAGCAGGCGAUGGAUCUUGUGUGAUCAGGUCCGUGGGGCCGGGCCGUUUUCGGCAGCGGAUGCAUGGCAUCCGCGGGACAGUA
rnacentral:ncRNA from 23 species